AUAUGACCACUUAUGGUAAUAAACUAUGUAUUUCUUAUGCUUAUAAAUAGGCACCAAAGAUGAAUGAAAAACACAGAAGAGAAAAGCUUGAGGUUGAGCUCUUGAUAAUUAUUGUUUCACUUCUUUCUUUCUAACAGUCAGCAUCUCACUUUCUCUAGUAGACCACAUCUCCACCACUGCUUCAAAUCCCUGAAACAGUGUGGGUUUGUCACUAGUUUUGAUCGGUUGGUAUUUUAGUUUGGUGGUGAAGUUCAAGAACUCUCUUGUUUGUGAUAAAAAGACUGAAACAAGGGGAUUUGAUCGGAGUACUCAGCUGGUAUUUGGGAGAUAUUCAUGCUGAUAACGUGUUACAAAACUAGGAAAAUUUAGAGAGAAUUUAGAGGAAGAGAAUAACCAUAGAAUUGCUCUUCUAAAGCUUAUCUUUUCAUUCUCUUAAUGCCUUGUAUUUAUAGGUAUAGGAAAUACACUAUUCACCACUAUUUUACAAACAUACUGUGGGGUGAGUCAUAUAUUAGGUAUGGUGGGGUGAGUCAUGUAUUAGGUAUUAGGUAUUAUGGUGACAUCCACUACAACAGAAACAGAACGUACAAGGAAAAAACAGAUUACCCAUUUCUUGGUAAACAGUACUAAUCGUAUUUACUCUGGGCUUUCUUUGGUAAACAGUAUGAAUCUUAUUUACUCUCCCUUUUUUUUUUUUUUUUUUAAUCUCCAAAUAUCAUUGUAAGUUGUAACAAUACAAACCAAG